GAUGAACGCUGGCGGCGUGCCUAAUACAUGCAAGUCGAGCGAACAGAUGAGGAGCUUGCUCCUCUGACGUUAGCGGCGGACGGGUGAGUAACACGUGGAUAACCUACCUAUAAGACUGGGAUAACUUCGGGAAACCGGAGCUAAUACCGGAUAAUAUAUUGAACCGCAUGGUUCAAUAGUGAAAGACGGUUUUGCUGUCACUUAUAGAUGGAUCCGCGCCGCAUUAGCUAGUUGGUAAGGUAACGGCUUACCAAGGCGACGAUGCGUAGCCGACCUGAGAGGGUGAGCGGCCACACUGGAACUGAGACACGGUCCAGACUCCUACGGGAGGCAGCAGUAGGGAAUCUUCCGCAAAGGGCGAAAGCCUGACGGAGCAACGCCGCGUGAGUGAUGAAGGUCUUCGGAUCGUAAAACUCUGUUAUUAGGGAAGAACAAAUGUGUAAGUAACUAUGCACGUCUUGACGGUACCUAAUCAGAAAGCCACGGCUAACUACGUG
rnacentral:rRNA from 1 species